AGAAUUCUCUGUCCGGCAUCCUUCUCUGGCUGGGUCUCUGCGUUCGACUAUUAUUUUUUUCCCCAUCUUGACGUUUCCUAAUUAUAAAAAGCCACCUGCAAUUUGCACUCCAAACCAGACCUAGGAGACUCACUCACUAGUUUGAACAACACUGAGCUUGCCUGGAGAGAGAUGGCAGAGCGGUGAGCCCCAAGUCUGUCUGCGAGGGCUGUCAGCGGGUCAUCUCGGAUAGGUUUCUGCUGAGACUCAACGACAGCUUCUGGCACGAGCAAUGCGUGCAGUGCGCCUCUUGCAAAGAGCCCCUGGAGACCACCUGCUUCUACCGGGACAAGAAGCUCUACUGCAAGUACCACUACGAGAAACUGUUUGCUGUCAAAUGUGGGGGCUGCUUCGAAGCCAUUGCGCCCAAUGAGUUUGUCAUGCGUGCCCAGAAGAGUGUGUACCACCUGAGCUGUUUCUGCUGCUGUGUCUGCGA
rnacentral:lncRNA from 1 species